rnacentral:rRNA from 1 species
AGAACGAACGCUGGCGGCAUGCCUAAUACAUGCAAGUCGAACGAAGGCUUCGGCCUUAGUGGCGCACGGGUGCGUAACGCGUGGGAAUCUGCCCCUUGGUUCGGAAUAACAGUUGGAAACGACUGCUAAUACCGGAUGAUGACGAAAGUCCAAAGAUUUAUCGCCAAGGGAUGAGCCCGCGUAGGAUUAGCUAGUUGGUGAGGUAAAGGCUCACCAAGGCGACGAUCCUUAGCUGGUCUGAGAGGAUGAUCAGCCACACUGGGACUGAGACACGGCCCAGACUCCUACGGGAGGCAGCAGUAGGGAAUAUUGGACAAUGGGCGAAAGCCUGAUCCAGCAAUGCCGCGUGAGUGAUGAA